rnacentral:rRNA from 1 species
AUUGAACGCUGGAGGCAGGACUAACACAUGCAAGUCGAACGAGUGGCGGACGGGUGAGUAAUGUCUGGGAAACUGCCUGAUGGAGGGGGAUAACUACUGGAAACGGUAGCUAAUACCGCAUACCAUCAGAUGUGCCCAGAUGGUAGUAGCUAGUUGGUUGGGUAACGGCUCACCAAGGCGACGAUCCCUAGCUGGUCUGAGAGGAGGACCAGCCACACUGGAAACUGUACACGGUCCAGACUCCUACGGGAGGCAUCAGUGGGGCAUAUUGCACAAUGGGCGCAAGCCUGAUGCAGCCAUGCCGCGUGUAUGAAGAAGGCCUUCGGGUUGUAAAGUACUUUCAGCGGGGAGGCGUUACCCGCAGAAGAAGCACCGGCUAACUCCGUGCCAGCCGCCGCGGUAAUUC